UCCAUAUCUGCCAAGUGACCCUAUGUAGGGGGAACAGUCUCUAUUCUGCUCUGUGCCAGUGUGUAUCAUGGUCUCUGAGGACAGGUGUCAAUCCAUAUCUGCCAAGUGACCCUAUGUAGGGGGAACAGUCCCUAUUCUGCUCUGUGUCAGUGUUUAUCAGGGAUCCUUAGGAUAGGUGUCAAUCCAUAUCUGCAAAGUGACCCUAUGUAGGGGGAACAGUCCCUAUUCUGCUCUUUGUCAGUGUGUAUCAGGGAUCCUUAGGAUAGGUGUCAAUCCAUAUCUGCCAAGUGACCCUAUGUAGGGGGAACAGUCCCUAUUCUGCUCUGUGUCAGUGUGUAUCAGGGGCUCUGAGAACAGGUGUCAAUCCAUAUCUGCCAAGUGACCCUAUGUAGGGGGAACAGUCUCUAUUCUGCUCUCCGUCAGUGUGUAUCAUGGUCUCUGAGGACAGGUGUCAAUCCAUAUCUGGCAAGUGACCCUAUGUAGGGGGAACAGUCCCUAUUCUGCUCUGUGUCAGUGUGUAUCAGGGAUCCUUAGGAUAGGUGUCAAUUCAUAUCUGCCAAGUGACCCUAUGUAGGG